CCUUCCCUUCAUGGGCAAAAAAUAGAGAUGCAUUGAGGUCUCCACCUUUUCAGCUGCAGCCAAUUCAACUGAGUCGAAACAAUUCUAACAAAUUCCUUUUCUUUCUUUCUGUGAGACAGGUCUUUGGCUUUCUAUGUGUAAGCUGACAGUAGGAAUCAUCAGCCCAACACUGUUCCUAAUGUAAGAGAACAAGGGAAAUACUUCUAUCAAAAUUUGAACAACCCAUUUUGGAGGCAGUGGAUGGCAGAGUUGCUGAAGUGCCUCAGUUUCCCUCUCAC